UAACAGGAUUAGAUACCCUGGUAGUCCAUGCCGUAAACGAUGAGUGCUAGCUGUUGGGCGGUUUACAUUUCGGUGGCGCAUCUCACGCGUUACACUCUCCCUGUGGAGAGUAGGGUCGCAAGAUUAACUCUCAAAAGAUUUGAGGGGCGUGCGCACACGCGGUGGAAUGUGUGUUUUAUUUCUAUGCAACGCACAAAAUUUUACCCCCCUUUGAUAUGUAU
rnacentral:rRNA from 1 species